rnacentral:rRNA from 1 species
CCUACGGGUGGCAGCAGUGGGGAAUAUUGGACAAUGGGCGAAAGCCUGAUCCAGCCAUGCCGCGUGUGUGAAGAAGGCCUUCGGGUUGUAAAGCACUUUCAGUGGGGAAGAAAGCCUUGGGGCUAAUACCCUCGAGGAAGGACAUCACCCACAGAAGAAGCACCGGCUAACUCCGUGCCAGCAGCCGCGGUAAUACGGAGGGUGCGAGCGUUAAUCGGAAUUACUGGGCGUAAAGCGCGCGUAGGCGGUCUGAUAAGCCGGUUGUGAAAGCCCCGGGCUCAACCUGGGAACGGCAUCCGGAACUGUCAGGCUAGAGUGCAGGAGAGGAAGGUAGAAUUCCCGGUGUAGCGGUGAAAUGCGUAGAGUUCGGGAGGAAUACCAGUGGCGAAGGCGGUCUUCUGGACUGACACUGACGCUGAGGUGCGAAAGCGUGGGUAGCAAACAGGAUUAGAUACCCCUGUAGUC